rnacentral:tRNA from 1 species
AGAAAUUUAGGUUAACAUAAACCAAGGACCUUCAAAGCCCUAAAAGAAAGUAUAAACUUUCAAUUUCUG